GACGAACGCUGGCGGCGUGCUUAACACAUGCAAGUCGAACGGAAAGGCCCUGCUUUUGUGGGGUGCUCGAGUGGCGAACGGGUGAGUAACACGUGAGUAACCUGCCCUUGACUUUGGGAUAACUUCAGGAAACUGGGGCUAAUACCGGAUAGGAGCUCCUGCUGCAUGGGGGGGGUUGGAAAGUUUCGGCGGUUGGGGAUGGACUCGCGGCUUAUCAGCUUGUUGGUGGGGUAGUGGCUUACCAAGGCUUUGACGGGUAGCCGGCCUGAGAGGGUGGCCGGCCACAUUGGGACUGAGAUACGGCCCAGACUCCUACGGGAGGCAGAAGUGGGGAAUAUUGCACAAUGGGCGGAAGCCUGAUGCAGCAACGCCGCGUGCGGGAUGACGGCCUUCGGGUUGUAAACCGCUUUCGCCUGUGACGAAGCGUGAGUGACGGUAAUGGGUAAAGAAGCACCGGCUAACUACGUG
rnacentral:rRNA from 1 species